GGCUUCCCACAGUGAAAGUGCCGGCCGCGUUCUGCUCCCCCAGCACCUGACACAGCAAAAAGGAAGUAAUCCCAUGAUGGAGGUCAACUUGGCCCUUACCAAGUGGUCCAAAUGCUGUGCAUUUUGAGAUGAUGCAACCGAGGCCCAGGGACAGAAAAUGUCUGCGACCUA